GGUCUGGUGGUCUAGUGGUAUGAUUCUCGCUUAGGGAGUUUCUCACUCGUUGAGUUCCUAUAAACCCUAAGAAAAUUUGCGAGAGGUCCCGGGUUCAAUCCCCGGCCAGACCC